rnacentral:lncRNA from 1 species
UUCUUUCGUCACUCGUCCUCUUCCUCUGCAACCUAACAAAACCCCCCAAAUUCAUUCUCCCCAACACCAUCUCCAAACCCUAAUCCGAUCACCUCAAAACAAAAUCCACCGAUGUGGGCUGCUUCGUGCUUGGCGUCAUGCUGCGCCGCCUGCGCAUGCGACGCUUGCAGGACCGUCGUUUCAGGCAUCAGCCGUCGUUCAGCCAGGAUCGCUUACUGCGGCCUCUUCGCUCUUUCCCUCUUCGUUGCUUGGAUCCUCCGUGAAGUCGCUGCUCCUCUCAUGGAAUCAAUUCCCUGUAACUAUUCCCUCCUUCAAACCCUAAUUCUUUUUUUUUAUCCUUUCUAAUUUCGAAUUAUGAAAUAAAAUUCUUUAUUCUUCAAUUGGAGGAUUGUAUGUAAAACACCUCUUUAAAAUUAUUAAGCUAUCUGUUUAAUCUGGAAUGUUUAACUUUUUAAUUUUUAAUUUUUACCUUUUUUUUAUUAUGAAAAUUGUGUUGUUGUAAAAUUACCAUGUUUCAUACGGAUAAUACACGUACAGUUUUUACAAGUUAAUUUAGUGAAUUUAGAUGAGGAUAUAAUUGGGUUAUUAUGGACUUGAGGAUGAAGCUAAUGUAUUUGAAAAAUGGUGCAGGGAUUAAUCACUUUAAACAAACUCCGAGCCGUGAGUGGUUUGAGACAGAUGCAGUUCUACGUGUUAGCUUUGGAAACUUUCUGUUUUUCACUAUUCUGGCUACUAUGAUGGUUGGUGUU